rnacentral:rRNA from 1 species
CCCUUAGAUGUUCUGGGCUGCACGCGCGCUACACUGAUGCGCUCAACGAGUUUUAACCUUGCCUGGAAAGGUUGGGUAAUCUUUUUAAAACGCAUCGUGAUGGGGAUAGAUUAUUGCAAUUAUUAAUCUUCAACGAGGAAUUCCUAGUAAGCGCGAGUCAUCAGCUCGCGUUGAUUACGUCCCUGCCCUUUGUACACACCGCCCGUCGCUACUACCGAUUGGAUGGUUUAGUGAGACCCUCGGAUCGGUCCCGACUCGGGGUGGGCUUCUGCCCCGGUCGUGGUUUCGCCGAGAAGACGGUCGAACUUGACUAUCUAGAGGAAGUAAAAGUCGUAACA